GAGGGGUGAGGUGGGGGAUCUAGAGAUUAUCAUUCCGAAGACUUAACGGGGUGUGCCGUGUGCGUACCCAAAUUUUAUGAAUCGAUUCCAUAAUUUAUGCAACUUUCUCGACGCCUAGCGGCUAUAUCCUACUCCCGCCCUAGCAGAGACUUGUCACACUUGUGUACGGUAUCAAGACGCGUCGGAAAAAAAAAAAAGCGAAAGGAGGAUGGAAAAGGGGAAAAAGAAGAAGAAUUAAAAAACCCCAGAAUACACAUGGGACGAAGAGGAAAAUCGUUAAACUGGAAAAAAGUGAAAGAGAAAAGCAGAUGGGA
rnacentral:lncRNA from 1 species